rnacentral:lncRNA from 1 species
CUGCCCCAUUUCUAUUUAUGCAUCCUCUCUCCUGUUAUUUUUUCCCUUUCACUCAUUAUAAGAACAGGUCUCUCGGAUGCUAAGUAGAGCUAAGUGUUUGGUUCCAGGGCCCAAAAGGCCAGUUCUGAAGCUUCCUCUUUUCAGACAGAAGCACAUUGUACAUAAGAAACCAAAACCAUUACUCGGCAAGAAGAAAUGAAAGAAGAGCCCCCAAGGAGCUCUCUGCUCUUCCUCACUCUAUUCCUCUCAGAUCAGGCCAGAGCCUGCUGUAAAUACUGGACAGUCCAGAGAAAGGCUGACAGUACACUUAUUACGGGGAACCUCCCAGCCGGCAUGCCCUGUGAAAUGCCUUCUAGAUACUUGUCGUGAGAAGCGUUGUGUGAGUUGCUCAAAAGCCACAGAGGAACCCAGUAAUUGUGAGGCUAGGUUCAGACUGCAAUUAGUUCCUCAGAAAAACAAAGAAAGCCACCUCACCCCACUUUUAGAAUGUGGAUCAUAAAGUGAAGCCUUGGAGCCACCACAGAUGACUGGUGACUCACUGUCAGCAGCAAGAGUGUCUUGGAGAUACCAGAAAUUCCACUGAAGCCUUUGGGUUGCGACUGUACGAGACACCACUUUGUCGGCAUCAUUUAUGUCUUAAAACCGUGGAGCUGGAGAGUGCACUUGGGGGACAGGAUAGAAGUCAUGGGUAGAUGGUUUAGGUCUGUCCUCCUGGAAAUGUACCAAGUGUCCUUUGAGAGAGCAACCCUCAGGCAGACAUAACUUAGCUGGGGGAGACAAGACAGAACAACAAACACAAGUCUGGGAAUAACUACCAGCUGAAGGACGUGCUGGGGCGGUGUGACUGUCAGCCAUGGAGAGAUCUCUGAGAGAUGGAAAUACAAGGGCCUGAUGCAGGUGGCAUGGGGCAGGAGUGGCGCUGGGUGCAGUGAAUGAGUCUGAAGAGCGCAUUGGACCAGCUCUUUCCACUUACACCGCUGAAGCCUGGCUCAGCCUCCGCUAUCGAGCGUCUACUAGUUUCUAGUCUCUUACUAUCUCCCUGCUUUCAGCCUGUGGCUUAUCAUACAACCUAUUGUGCUAGACUUGAAAACCCUGCAAGAGGCUAUGCUGUGGUUCUCCUUAAAAAUUCCUCAGAUGCUACUCACAAAGUAAAGAGAAUGAGAUAUGCACAAAGACUGCCUGAGAGCAAGGGUCGCACAGCCUGCCUACUGCAAGCGCUUAGCAGUGACUACAGAAUUUUGUACCUGCCAGGAGCUCAAGAAACACUGCAGCUUCAGGACAGGAGUGCCAAACAACAUAUUCCUGCUAAAGAGAAUCUGGGAAAUGUCUACAAGCACACCCAUGGGACACUUUCAACCCAGUGGUUCUCAACCCGUGGGCCAUGAUCCUUUUGGGGGUUGAAUGACUCUUUCACAGGGGUCACUGAAGACCACUGGAAAACACAGCUAUCUACAUUACGCUUCAUAACUUGAAAAAUUAUAGUUACAAAGUAGCCACAAAAUAAUUGUAUGAUUGGGGUCACCACGACAUAAGGAACUGUAUUAAAGGGUCACAACAUUAGAGGGUUUGAGGACCACUGUUCUAAAGUGAUGUGAUUUAUAUAUGUAACUGUUUGCAUGCACUUCAACUUCCCGGGGACAUGGCUAUUGUUCAGUAGGAGGCGUUCCCUGUCGGGGCAGGACAGCCUGUCACCACAGACAAACGAGACAGGAUCCUCUGACCUGGUGCUAGCACCUUAGUGGCUAAGAAUUAUUUAGUCUAUUGUUUCUUUUUCCUCCAAGUUGGUGGAAAUUUCCCACCAUUCAAUGCCUUCCUCAAACUGGAAGACCACAAAGAAAAAAAAAUCAUCCCUGGAAGGUCUUUCCUAUUAAUUUUCCUACUUUGAUGUUUCUAAUGUUUUGCUUUUUCGUUCCUCACAUCACCCACGUCCAUCUGGGAACCAUUUCUCAAAACACUCCGGUAUCGAUUUAGAAACAAACCACACCGUGGAGUGUUCUUGGUCCCGCCACCGCUAAUAGUAGUAUUUCUUUGGGUAGACAACUCACUGACAGUAACUCUUGCAAAACAGAAAAACCACAAAUUCAAAGCACAUCAACCAUAAAUGCAAACACAGCAGAGAACGAGAGGCAGGACCGGAGAGCUUGCAUGCAUCUCUAGAGUCUUCAGAGCGUAAAAAUGGCUCAGAAGCUGGGGAGGUGGCUCAGCAGGUCAUGGGCUCCCUGUGCAAGAACAAGGACCAGAGUUCAGAUCCCCAGCACUUGUGCGAAUGCCAGAUAGACAGAGCGGCAUACCUACAAUCCCAACAGAGGAGGAUGGACAAGGGCAAUGAGGGACAAGCUAGCUAGAUUAAGAAAGAGACUAUAAGGUCAGAGGAGAUUGAGGAAGACUCUCAAGGUCUUCAUAUGCAUGUGUAUAUGUGCACUCACACAUACAAAUGCCCUCACACAUGUGAGCACACACACAUACUAAAUAGUAAAAAAAAAAAAAAAAAAAAAAAGACUAAGACUUACAUAGAUACAGAAUAUUAUGAACAGAUUAAAAUAAAGUGGUUUCAAACAACCA